CCCGCCGCGCCGCGGCCCCGCCGCCGCCGCCGCCGCGUCCUCUACCCGCCGGCCGUGGUGCGGCCGCCCCCGGGCGAGGGGCCGAGCGCGGCCAAGCGGCUGCUGCUGCUGCUGCUGGCGGUGGUGGGGGCCCAGGUGUACAGCACCCCCGGGGAGGGGCCCGCGCCCCACACCGCCGCCGCCCCGCCCCACACCGCCGCCGCCCCGCCCCACACCGCCGCCGCCCCGCCCCACGCCGCCCCCCCGAGCCCCCCCGCCGCGACCCCCGCCGCCCCCUCCUGCCCCCGGCCGCCGCUCUCGCCCGCCCUGCGGCCCCCCGCCGCCUGCUGAGGGCGCCCGCCGUGGGGCGGCACCUGGGACCAGCCGUGGGGCGGCACCCGCCGUGGGGCGGCACCCAGGACCCGCCGUGGGGCGGCACCCACCAUGGGGCGGCACCCAGGACCAGGCACCGGCCGUGGGGCGGCACCCAGGACCCGCCGUGGGGCGGCACCCAGGACCAGGCACUGGCCGUGGGGCGGCACCCAGGACCCGCCGUGGGGCGGCACCCAGGACCAGGCACCGGCUGUGGGGCGGCACCCAGGACCCACCGUGGGGCAGCACCCACCAUGGGGCAGCACCCAGGACCAGCCGUGGGGCGGCACCUAGGACCAGGCACUGGCCGUGGGGCGGCACCCGCCGUGGGGCGGCACCCAAGGACCCGGCACCCACUGUGGGGUGACACUAAGGACCCGGCACCCGCCGUGGGGUGACACUAAGGACCCGGCACCCGCCGUGGGGCAGCACCCAGGACCCGCCGUGGGGCGGCACCCACCAUGGGGCGGCACCCAGGACCAGGCACCCACUAUGGGGUGGCACCCGCUAUGGGGUAGCCCCAAGGACUCGACACCCGCCGUGGGGCAGCACCCAAGGACCUGGCACCCGCCGUGGGGUGACACUAAGGACCCGGCACCCGCUAUGGGGCAGCACCCAGAGCGAUGGACUCGCGCCGGCACCCGUCACCGUGGCCUCAGGGCGGCGCCGUGGGGGCUCCGGCGCCCGUUAUUUAUUCUGUUCUAUUUUAUUCUAUUUUAUUUAAUUUUAUUCUAUUUUAUUUAAUUUUAUUCAUUUUAUUCUAUUUAUUUAAUUUUAUUCUAUUUAAUUUUAUUCUAUUUAAUUUUAUUCUAUUUAAUUUUAUUCUAUUUAAUUUUAUUCUAUUUUACUUAAUUUGGGGGGUUUUGGGGUUUUUUUUCUGUGUAUUUAUUGCUGUUAUUUAAGGAGGGGCCGCGCCCCUCCCCCCCCACCCAGCGCAAUAAACCUCGCCCGGACGCCUGGGCCCUUUCCCUCCCCCCACCCCACCCCACCCCGGGGGGGAGCGGGGGGGGGGGGAGGGCCCGGACGCCUGGGCCCCCCCCCUUCCCUGGAA